GUUAAAAAUAGAACUACCGUAUGAUCCAGUAAUUGCACUACUGGGUAUUUAUCCAAAGAAUACGAAAACACUAAUUCAAAGGGAUAUGUGCACUCCUAUGUUUAUUGCAGCAUUAUUUACAACAGCCAAAUUAUGAAAGCAUCCCUAAUGCCCAUCAAUAAUGAAUGGACAAAGAAGAUGUAUAUAUUUAUACAUAUAAUAUGGCCACAAAAUCUUGCCAUUUGCGACAACAUGGAUGGAGUUAAAGAGUAUGAUGCCAAGUGAAAUAAGGCAGUCAGAGAAAGACAAAUACCAUAUGACUUUACUCAUAUAUGGAAUUUGAGAAACAAAACAAAUGAGCAAAAGGGAAAAAGAGAGAGAGAGAGACAAACCAAGAAACAGACUCUCAACUAUAGAGAACAAACUGGUUAUCAGAGGGAAGGUAGUGGGGGGAUGAGUGAAACAGAUGAAGGAGAUUAAGAUGUGCACUUAUCUUGAUGAGCACUGAGUAAUGUAUAUAAUUUUUGAAUCACUAUAUUGUACAUCUGAAAUGAACACUGUAUGUUAACUAUACUAGAAUUUAAAUAAAAAAAAACAGAGGGGGGAAUAACAUAUAUCCAUAAUAGCUUGUUUAUGUAUAUAUAACAUUUUUCUAGAAGGAUAAACAAGAAACUAAACAACAGACUCACCUGUUGGAGGACAUGGGAACUGAGUGGAUGGGGAAAGUGUAAGGAAGACUUUUUACUAUAUGCCUUUUAUUUUUAAUGUUUGAACAAUGUGGAUGUCUUAUUUAUUCGUUCUUCUAGGUGUAACGUUCAGUGUCACGGUCAACUUUCCUAACCCACUAUUAAAGCAGCAGUUGGAUCAUAUUUCUUAUCAACUGGAAGAGCCAAAGUUUCUACUGAUCAGAGAAUAGCUUGCUGUCUCUUGAUGUGGAAUCUAAGGCCUGAACUAGAAGAAGGAAUUGCAGUCAUCAGUCUGCAGUAGGUUAUACGCCCAGCAUGCAGCCCAACACAGGGCCUGAACUCACGACCCUGAGAUCACGACCUGAGCCAAGAUCAAGUCAACUCAUUAUUUUAAAAAUAUUGGAAAUAAAGAUGUGUACUGGGUAUUGGCUGUUUGGCACCACAUUAGGUGCUGUGGCAGUUGGAGGAAUAAGAGGUGCCAGCUGGCCAGAGCCAGGAUUUCCUCAAGGAGCUGUGGAAUUUAUUAGAGUGUGGUGUGACCGAUGCUGGAACCAAAGUAAAUCCCUCUGCAGAUAAGCAUGCCCAGGGAAGGGAAGGCUUUGGAGAGAAAGUCACAGGUGAGCUGGGCUUGCAUAGGUGAAAAAGGAUCUCACCAGGUAGAGGAGGAAGCAGCACAGAGAAAGAAGGACAAGAGACCAAGGAGGAGCUGGGGGAACGGUGAAGCAUCUUGUGCAGCUGUAUCAGAGAGGGCAUGGGAGGCUGGAGUAUGUCUUAGUGUGGGGAACAGAGGGGGACACGGGGAAUGACACAGGGACCUGGUACAAGUAUUCUAGUCAGAUUAUCCCAGAAAGUGGAAGUGAGGGAGACAGACAAAAAGGGAAAGCCAAUAGAGGGCUCCUUACGGAUUGGUUACCACGGUGAACAACUGGGGCUCCUUCCUGUUGGCCCGCUGAGUACACCUCAGAAAUGUCCUCCAAAGAUGGGACCUGGGACUUCAUUAAGCAGCUCACAUUUCCGCACUGCACUGUGGGAUACCCCUGCGGAUAUUAACUUUCCCCUUAGAAGCUUCCUUCCUGGAUGCCUUUGUGACUUUGAAAACAAAAGCCCUGGGGCAGAAAAGUGGGAGAGUGGUAGCAGUGGGUGGCUUGAGGUGAGACCAUGGCAGCCCUUGGGAAGGGCCCACUCCAAUCUGAGAUGGGCCAAAGGGAGGUGGCAUGGGACACAAAAGGCAUCUGCUCAUAGGGUGACUCAGAUUAAGGGACUGAAUGGGUGCAGCAAGUGGGAGAAAAAAUUCAGGAAAUGGGAAAAGUAGGGUGGGGUCAGAGCGGAUCCAUUGUGAAGAGUCUUCUGUGCCACAUUACAAAGUUUACACUUGAUUUGCCAAACACUGGCACCUAAUAGGUGCUCUAUAGAUAUUUAUCGAAUAAAUGAACGUUAAUGACAGAUGCACCCGGACCAAGCUUUAGAAUCCAGCAGACUAGUGUGACUUUUUUUUUUUUUAAUUUUUAAAGUUUAUUUAUUUUUAGAGAAAGAGAGAGGGCAUGCAAGUGGGGGAGAGGCAGAGACAGAGGGAGAGAGAGAGAGAGAGGGAAUCCCUGGCAGGCUCAGCACUGUCAGCACAGAGCCCAACUCAGGGCUUAAACUCAUGAAGCAUGAGAUCAUGACCUGAGCUGAAGUCAGAUGCUUAACAGACUGAGCCAUACAGGUGCCUUAGCCAUGUGACUUCUAACCUCUUUGAUCUUCUAUUUCUCUCUCUCUCUCUCUCUCUCUCUCUCUCUCUCUCUCUCUGAAGUAGCAACAAUAAUACCUUCUUUACAGGGUUGUUGUGAGGAAUUAGAUGAGAUCAAAGAUGUAUGGCAACUAGAAGUAUGGACUUAAUAAAUGUCAGCCACUCUACCCCUGCCCCCAUGAUGACCCCAAGCUAAGUAAUAAACUGAACUAUCCACCAGCUAGAGACAAUGAAGGUUUCUCCUGGGAU